AAAAAAUGUUGUCCUUUCUUUGUUUGUCAAAAGGGACAAGUAAAAAAGGAAAAUUGGACAAGUAAUUAGACACAAAUGUAGUACUUAAUUAUUUAGAUAUCUUGUUCUUCAAAUAGGCAGUCCUUUUGAUAGACGCAAAAUCUAGAGAAGGAACGCACCUCAAUGGAGUAGGCAAUCUACCCCACGGAGACAACUUUACUGUCACUCCAAGACUCAGCAGUGGAGGAAAAAAAACAUUGGA
rnacentral:misc_RNA from 1 species